GGGGAAUAUUGGGCAAUGGGCGAAAGCCUGACCCAGCAACGCCGCGUGAUUGAAGAAGGUCUUCGGAUUGUAAAGAUCUGUCCUAUGGGAAGAAAAAAAUGACGGUACCAUAGGAGGAAGCCCCGGCUAACUACGUGCCAGCAGCCGCGGUAAUACGUAGGGGGCGAGCGUUGUCCGGAAUUACUGGGCGUAAAGGGUGCGUAGGCGGUUUUUUAAGUCAGAUGUGAAAUACCCGGGCUUAACCUGGGGGGUGCAUUUGAAACUGGGGAACUUGAGUGCAGGAGAGGAAAGUGGAAUUCCUAGUGUAGCGGUGAAAUGCGUAGAUAUUAGGAGGAACACCAGUGGCGAAGGCGACUUUCUGGACUGUAACUGACGCUGAGGCACGAAAGCGUGGGGAGCAAAC
rnacentral:rRNA from 1 species